CAAUCGAGAAGAGUUCCUUGGCUACACGCUUUAGCCAAGCUAUGUGUCAUUCCAGCUGCUGUGAUAGCAUGAACGAAACCAGUCUCCCGAGUAUCUGAGGAGAGUACAGUAAUCAACAUUCACAGUUUUAUUGAUAGUCAAGCAACCUUCAGAUCAUCUGAAGUAAAUUGAGGAAACAGAUAAAAACAAAUGGAUGGAAAAAGAAUCAAUUCAAUGUGCAAACAUUUUCAACUUUCUACUCUUUCGCUUAAAGCUUCCAGAAGUGGGUAAAGCAAACAGACAUCUUUAGACGUUUACCUCUCAAAAGGAUCUUCCUCAUCGACCUUCGCGUUGAUGUACAAUUCCAUUGACGAUUACGGAACUGAUAUUCACACUCUUUACGGGCAAUUUUGGCACCUUUGGUUAUUUCCCGAAUGAUCUCCGGUUCUUUUUCACAAAUACCUGUUUGUUUACUUUUCAAUCGACCUGCUUUACGGCAGAUUUUAUUCGGAUCUAAAACAAGUUUCAUUCCCGUACUGCCGAGUAAAUAUACAAGAAAAAAAAGACAAAGAUUAGGAUCCAAGUAAAUCAAAAACAGUGUACGAGAUAAGUGUAAAAAUGACGAUGAGUUUCCUUCUUCUCUCUUUCCAUAUGGAAUCCAUCUUUGUGAUACAUUCUAGUAAAAAAGUUAAAGGUUCAAUACAAAUUCAAUGGUUAUACCUAUAAUAGAAACAAUGAUUUAUGAUUGAUUGGCUGAACAGUUUCUCUCUCUGAUGGACAAAUAUCAUCUUCAUCAGCAACAACAUCAUCAUCCAGCAUCAUUACCAUCAUAUGUAAUCGUCAUUUAUAGAAGCUUCAUUCAGACCUUUUUACUAUCUUAAUUUAAGUCUCUGAAAGGUUGAAGAAAAAUAUAAUUUGAUUGUUAACUAUAUCAUUAUAUUUGACAUCAAGUCUGUUUCUUCUUUGCCUUCUGUAACCAGAAUCAUUUCAUAAUUAGUAUCAACACAAAAUUCAAUUGAACUUCUUUUAACUAACAACAUUAACAUCAGCAACAAUCACAUUAGCACAAACAAACAAAACUAUUUCAAUACUUACCUAUACUUAGAGUAUUACCUUUUUUACCUAUUAUGCUUCAAGAUGAAUGCGUUUUUGAACACAAAAAAACUAUUUUCUUGUAAAAUAUUUAUUAUCAAACACUCUUAUUAGUUGUAAACAAUUGAUCACACCUUAAGUUUUAUUGCAAAAUGAGGAAGAAACCAUAUUACUUUGGGUGAAACGAAUUACUGAAUCAAUAAUGAUAUUUGCUUACUGAACAAUCUAUGAAUAGAUGAUUGGUAAUGAUGAUGAUAAUGAUGAUAUUAUAGGAAGGAAUUUUUGUCUUGAAUAAAAUUGAUUGUUACAGAGAGACUAAAAAGAGUCAUUUCAACAAUCAAAGGAUCAACUUGAGUUUUGAAAAGAAGAGAGUCAACAUUUUCAAUGAUUUAUACCAAAAAUUGCUGUUAAUUUUUCAACUUCUCCUGUUGCUACAUCUCAUGUUUAGUGUUGACCGAUGUUUUGUUUUGUUUAUGUUAAACCAUUGAAUCUAAUUGAUUGACCCAUUGUUACCAAGCAAGCAACAAAACAAUAAAAAAAGGAUAAUGCCUUUAACUGUAUUCAACAAGCAUAUUGAUCAGAUAAUGUUGGUGCGUAACCUGGUUUUACAAGGAAAUACAUGUUGACUAAAAAAUUUACUUGUGUACAUAUUUACUGAUCAUUUUAAUCAUAAUGAUUUGGCCAUAAUCGGCAAAAUGCAUUGAAUUUUUGCUCGUCCAUUCUCUCUGGUACACCUAGCAAAACUUUACAUCUCAAUCAGUGUUUGGUUAUCAAUAAUGGCUGCUGAAGGAAAUAAAAUCAAAGCUACUAAUAGCUAGUAAUUAGUUGCUGAAAUUGUACGCUAUUACGGAUGGAUGGUUAUUUUGAACAAUUUUUUCAUCCUUUUGUCAACAAGUUAAGGAACCAAAAGUCACUCAUUAACCAUGGUAUUGAUUGAGAUGUAAGUAUUUGAAUGGAAGACAACAAAACAGCUAAUGGUGUGACUUUUACAAUAAUAAGGCGGUUGAAUACACAGUUUUAUGCCUAGUGUGUUGGCCCACAGGAGAGAAGAAGACACCUUAAUUAAGGUCUUAAGGCCAGCCUACCUAAUUCAUGUUUUCUUCUUCAAUCAUUACCUGCAAGGAUUACAACUAUUGGAUGAUCUUUGAACAUGACUGUGGUCAUAAUAGCAAUUCAUUUAAGCGAUCUUUUCCCGAAAAGAAAUAUUGUCCACGGUACAUUGGAAAUAAGCGUUAAGUAGACAUGAGAAGCUCAAUGUUCCCUUACAAAAGGCGAUCAGUGAUUACCCUUUUCCUUUCCUUCAAAAAUACAUUACACAUGUAAACAUAUUGUAAUGCAAAAUGUUUAAGAGUUAACUAAUGGUGGUUAAUCAUUCAUUUCUCUCUCUCUCUCAGUUUAAUGCUAAGUAAUUUAUUAACCACUAUUAAUAGAUGAUAAUCAUAGUGAAAAGUAGCUUUUCUCUUCAAUUGGCCAGCGAUUUGAGGAAAACUUGAUUCUCCGUUAAAUCUUUUCAUAUUCAUUUCUCUUGACUCUACUUUUCAAAUGUCAAGUAUUUUCAUUGUCUCUGAGCAAAUAACUUUUUGUUACAAGAAAUAUCAUAAAAAAAUGAACCAACGAACAUCACAAUAGCUAAAGCUUUAGAGAAGCAACUGGUGGUAGUGCAAUAAAAUUAUCCCAAGAAGGUCAAGUUGAACUCCAAUGGAAUAAUUUUCUGUAAUCGUAAUUUUUCGACUGGAAUUUACUCAUUUUUAGACUCUGCGAUAAGAAGACAAUUCUGACGCAAAAUUUGUUACUACUGUUAUAAUUUGUUCAUAAAUGAGCUUCAAUUUUCAUUGUUUCACUUUCUUUUCUAACUUUUUUUUUCUCUAUUCCUUCUCCUCUUUCAAGUGUUGAUGGCCGAUUGUAGAGUUAUUAUAACAAUCAGUGUUACAAUCAUGAAAACAAAAGAAUAGCUAAAGAUUAUAAUUGACGAGAUACUAAAUACACAUUACAAUGCAUUUAUGAGCUGGAAUACAAAAACUAGUUGAAUGGAUGGCCGGGAUCAGUUUUGACCAACUAAUCAGUGAUUUAUUAAUGGCUUACUGUUUUUCCUGUUUCUAUGGGAUUAAAUUGACACAUGCAAUCAACAUGACAAUCAAAAGUUAAAGUUGGUGGAAUAAAGAAACAUAUUGUUAAUUGUCUUCAACGAGUGAGUGAUAAUUAUGAGAAAAAUAAACUACACAAUCGCAAUCACUGAGCACCUCUAUUAUCAGUUAUUAAGUCAAUUCAAGUGUCUCUUACUCGUGAGUCUGUGAGUAUCUAUCAAGAGGUAGAUAUUGCGAGGAAACAGGACGAUGAUACAUAACAAUGAAACUUAAAGAAAACAAUUAAGAUUGAAACAAAAUGACACUCUCGAUAUGUUAUGUUGCCUGUUGAUUGUUUUUUUGAGUGGACUCAAGUAAAUCUAAGGCUCAACGAUUAUUUCACUCAAGUAUACAUGCUUUUGAGUGAUAGUUAAUUCUUCAUGCAAUCUUUCAUUCAUUCACAGCUAAUUGUUAAAGUGGAUUGGUCAAUAAAUGGAAUCCAAUGUAUCGCAAUGGAAGAAGAUGGAAACUCAUCAAUCAUAACUGUAUCAUUUACAAAUGUGGACUUACCCCCAAAAUGAUUCACUCGUACGACAUUCGAUGAUUGAGAUUAGACAAAGAAUUUUUACGAAUAACUGUAUCAGUUCCAUUGGUCACUUGGGAAUCACAUUCACACUAGGCAAAAGCAACACAAACUUUAAAGCCAUAAAGCUUAAAGGCACUUAAAGUACACAUUAGACACAAAUGGAGCCAAUUUGAAAGGAAAUGUCCGAAAGAUGAAGUCACAAAAAACACCAGGAAGUAAAAGGAGAGGGAAAAGUGAACCUUAAACUGGUGAAAUGGGAAACAUCGUAAGCCAGUGAAAAAUAUAAAGUUAUCAAAGGUUGAUUAUUAAUAAAGGAUGAUGCUGAUUACAUGAAGAUGAUUGAAAAACGGUAAAAGAGAUUGAGAAUAAGAUGACGAUGGAAAAAAAGGGAAAAAAGUAAAGGGUAAAACAAUAGAUAGAGCUGCUUUUGUUAAGUCUUCAAGAGUGUUAACUAAUGGUAUGGUUGACUUUAAUUAAAUGGAUAGCGCCAUCUA